rnacentral:rRNA from 1 species
GGUCAAGUGAAGAAGCGCAUACGGUGGAUGCCUUGGCAGUCAGAGGCGAUGAAAGACGUGGUAGCCUGCGAAAAGCUUCGGGGAGUCGGCAAACAGACUUUGAUCCGGAGAUCUCUGAAUGGGGGAACCCACCUAGGAUAACCUAGGUAUCUUGUACUGAAUCCAUAGGUGCAAGAGGCGAACCAGGGGAACUGAAACAUCUAAGUACCCUGAGGAAAAGAAAUCAACCGAGAUUCCCUUAGUAGUGGCGAGCGAACGGGGAUUAGCCCUUAAGCUUCAUUGAUUUUAGCGGAACGCUCUGGAAAGUGCGGCCAUAGUGGGUGAUAGCCCCGUACGCGAAAGGAUCUUUGAAGUGAAAUCGAGUAGGACGGAGCACGAGAAACUUUGUCUGAACAUGGGGGGACCAUCCUCCAAGGCUAAAUACUACUGACUGACCGAUAGUGAACCAGUACCGUGAGGGAAAGGCGAAAAGAACCCCGGAGAGGGGAGUGAAAUAGAACCUGAAACCGUAUGCGUACAAGCAGUGGGAGCCUACUUGUUAGGUGACUGCGUACCUUUUGUAUAAUGGGUCAGCGACUUAUAUUCAGUGGCAAGCUUAACCGUAUAGGGUAGGCGUAGCGAAAGCGAGUCUUAAUAGGGCGUUUAGUCGCUGGGUAUAGACCCGAAACCGGGCGAUCUAUCCAUGAGCAGGUUGAAGGUUAGGUAACACUGACUGGAGGACCGAACCCACUCCCGUUGAAAAGGUAGGGGAUGACUUGUGGAUCGGAGUGAAAGGCUAAUCAAGCUCGGAGAUAGCUGGUUCUCCUCGAAAGCUAUUUAGGUAGCGCCUCAUGUAUCACUCUGGGGGGUAGAGCACUGUUUCGGCUAGGGGGUCAUCCCGACUUACCAAACCGAUGCAAACUCCGAAUACCCAGAAGUGCCGAGCAUGGGAGACACACGGCGGGUGCUAACGUCCGUCGUGAAAAGGGAAACAACCCAGACCGCCAGCUAAGGUCCCAAAGUUGUGGUUAAGUGGUAAACGAUGUGGGAAGGCUUAGACAGCUAGGAGGUUGGCUUAGAAGCAGCCACCCUUUAAAGAAAGCGUAAUAGCUCACUAGUCGAGUCGGCCUGCGCGGAAGAUGUAACGGGGCUCAAACCACACACCGAAGCUGCGGGUGUCACGUAAGUGACGCGGUAGAGGAGCGUUCUGUAAGCCUGUGAAGGUGAGUUGAGAAGCUUGCUGGAGGUAUCAGAAGUGCGAAUGCUGACAUGAGUAACGACAAUGGGUGUGAAAAACACCCACGCCGAAAGACCAAGGGUUCCUGCGCAACGUUAAUCGACGCAGGGUUAGUCGGUUCCUAAGGCGAGGCUGAAAAGCGUAGUCGAUGGGAAACAGGUUAAUAUUCCUGUACUUCUGGUUACUGCGAUGGAGGGACGGAGAAGGCUAGGCCAGCUUGGCGUUGGUUGUCCAAGUUUAAGGUGGUAGGCUGAAAUCUUAGGUAAAUCCGGGGUUUCAAGGCCGAGAGCUGAUGACGAGUCGUCUUUUAGAUGACGAAGUGGUUGAUGCCAUGCUUCCAAGAAAAGCUUCUAAGCUUCAGGUAACCAGGAACCGUACCCCAAACCGACACAGGUGGUCGGGUAGAGAAUACCAAGGCGCUUGAGAGAACUCGGGUGAAGGAACUAGGCAAAAUGGCACCGUAACUUCGGGAGAAGGUGCGCCGGCUAGGGUGAAGGAUUUACUCCGUAAGCUCUGGCUGGUCGAAGAUACCAGGCCGCUGCGACUGUUUAUUAAAAACACAGCACUCUGCAAACACGAAAGUGGACGUAUAGGGUGUGACGCCUGCCCGGUGCCGGAAGGUUAAUUGAUGGGGUUAGCGCAAGCGAAGCUCUUGAUCGAAGCCCCGGUAAACGGCGGCCGUAACUAUAACGGUCCUAAGGUAGCGAAAUUCCUUGUCGGGUAAGUUCCGACCUGCACGAAUGGCGUAACGAUGGCGGCGCUGUCUCCACCCGAGACUCAGUGAAAUUGAAAUCGCUGUGAAGAUGCAGUGUAUCCGCGGCUAGACGGAAAGACCCCGUGAACCUUUACUGUAGCUUUGCACUGGACUUUGAGCCUGC